CAGAGAACAGUGGACACACAGUUUAACAUGAUGGACUAUAGGAGAGGACUGCUGCUUUUAACUCUCUGCUGGGCAGGUGUUGAUGGUCAGACUCUGCCAGAAUCUGAACCAGUGGUUAAAAGACCCGGAGAAUCCCACAGACUGACCUGUACAGCCUCUGGAUUCACAUUCAGCAGCCAUGAGAUGCACUGGGUCAGACAGGCUCCUGGAAAAGGACUGGAGUGGAUCGCUUAUAUUGAUAGUGGCAGUGGCAGUGGCAAAUACUACUCUCAGUCAGUCCAAGGCCGGUUUACCAUCUCCAGAGACAACAGCAGACAGCAGCUGUAUCUGCAGAUGAACAGUCUGAAGACUGAAGAUUCUGCUGUUUAUUAUUGUGCUCAAUGGCCACACAGUGACUGGAGUUGGUUGAGCAGCUGUACAAAAUCCUACUGUACUCAUCUUAAUUGUGCUGAUAGAUUCAAACUACUACACAGGUGACUGCUUAUGUCCUGGGCUUAUUGUAAAUCAUUGCAUUUGUUAAUUUAGGUGCAAAACACAAAAUCAGGUCAAGGUGCAGAUACUGAUCAAGAGACAAUGACUGCACUAAAAUGUUGGU